ensembl:lncRNA
UCCCAGACCAACUAUGGUGAAACCAGCCUUUGGUAGAGCCAAGGGCUGGGCACCACGUGAGGCCGGGGUCGGCCAUGCCCUGGCCCAGCCUGCGCCUCUUUCUGCUCUUGGAGGCAGGACUGGGGGCGGGAGAGGUGCUGUGUCCUGGGGAAGCUGUGCCCUGUGUCUUGGUGUCUGUCUGCCUGUGAGCGGGCUCCUAGCUGCCCUGGCUCUGCCCCUGUGAAUGUCACUCUCCCCUGUUUCUCCUGCUUCUGCCCCCCAACCCCAUUAAACCAUGGGUGCUGCCGCUGUGGCUCCACACGGGGCAGGCUUUUAGGGUGCUCAUGGACAGCAGAAGUGCUUGAAAGGUACUCAGCAUCCCUGGCUGUCUCCUGGACCCUGGGUCCUAGAGGAGGGAGCUGGAGAGGCUGGGAGCCCUGGGUGCCUGCGGGUAUCCCAGCGCAGCACCGGGCCUCCGGGGACUAGCGAGGAGCGUGUGUGUGUGUGUGUGUGUCCGUGUGUCCGGGGACUAGCGAGGAGUGUGUGUGUGUGUGUGUGUGUGUGUGUGUGUGUGUGUGUGUGGAGGUGGGGGGCGGUGAACCAUUCUGGCCAAAGCAUUGAUGUCGGGGGAGAUGGUGGGAGAAGAUUCUGGGAAGAUGCCUUGCGGUCCACAGUGAAGGGCCUUAAAGGCUAGGCCUGGGCCCAUGGCUUUAGUUCUGCAGGCAGAAGAAAGUGGAGGUCAGCGAGGAGGCAGCCAGCCGCUUUGUCCCCUGCCAGACGUCUUCUCAUUUCUCCUCCUGAGUGUCGUUGUUUGUCUAGAGCUGUCCCUUGCAGGGUUAACUCACUGGUUUAAAAAACUCCUGGAGUUCUGGUUGUGGCUCAGUAGUAACAAACCUGACUAGUAUCCAUGAGGAUGCGGGUUCGAUUCCUGGCCUCACUCAGUGGGUUAAGGAUCUGACGCUGGCGUGAGCUGUGGUGUAGGUCACAGAUAGGUGGGAUCCUGUGUGGCUCUGGCUGGCAGCUGCAGCUCUGAUUGGACCCCUAGCCUGGGAACCUCCAUAUGCCGCGGGUGCUCCCCUAAAAAGCAAAAAACAAAACAAAACAAAAAAACAAAAAAACCUCAAACAGAAAAGCAAAAAACCAAACCAAAAAACCCAACUCUUGGGGUUUUGCAUACACUACUAGUGCUGAAGCUGUUGCACGUGACCUCUACACCAGUGCCACACACCCGUGUCCACGCCUGGCCUGUGUGGCUUUUGGGGGCUGCUAACAAAGGUUGAUUCUGGGAGUCAGUGUGGCAGGACUGAGGGCCCAGAGGGGCUCUGUGUGGGGCCCCUGUCUCUCUCUCUCCCACCACGUCUGAGGCAGAACCAGCAGGCGGGCUCGCUGGUGCCUGGAGCGGGACGCUCUCAGCCUGGUGGCCUGGAAGCGUUCCGGAAAGAGAGUUUAGCCAAGUGGCCUUUGAGAGCCCAGCCAGCUCUCAGAUUUUUAUGACUCAUGAUUUUCUGCAGCCAGGUGGACACACUUCUCAGAGCGUGAACCUUGCUGUGUUUCCAGGAGAGUGCCUGUUGGUUUUCAGAAAAGUUCCGGACCGGGGGCAGGUUUCUUAUCUGCCGUCUCACUUCCCAGGCAGCAGGAGGAAGGGCCUGGAGCCUGGACGCAGGCAGGCAUGUCAGGCCAGCCCCUGACAGCACCAGGGCUUGAGCAGAUGAGCCCCUCUGUGGAGCUUGGCCUCCUCAGCGAACGGGGCUGUUGUAGGAUGAAGAGUAGUGUAAGGUGACAUGCACUGGACGGAAAUAAUGAAUGACAGCUCUUGUAGUUCUUCAUACUAUUGCACUGAAAUAUUUAAUCUGAAGUGAAAGUGUUUGAAAGAUGAGGACUAUAAAAGCUGAUGUAUGCCAGGCACUGUGCGGUCCCUGGCAGGGGCUGUGAGCGCUCAGCAAUGGUUUCCAUGUUGAACCGAGCCUGGGAAAGAGGCUGGUGCAUGAGCAGGACGUGUUUAUGCUGACAGCAGGCACGACUCUGCAGUCAGGAACAAGAAUGCAUCUUGAGCUGCCCGUGGGAUGGGCCAGCCCCUAGCUCAGUGCCUGGCACUUGGUUGGCACUCAGUACGGUUUGUGGGGUGACCAGACCAAGUUGAUUUAGACGAACUCUCUGGAAAUUAUCCUAGACUACUGCCCUUCUUCCCAACCCAAUGAUUUACCUUUUAAAAAAUAGCCACUGGGAGAAAAAAAGGAGUUCCUGUUGUAGCUCAACGGGUUAAGAAUCCGUCCAGUAUCCAUGAGGAUGAGGGUUCGAUCCCAGGCCUCCUUCAGUGGGUUAAUGAUCAGGCAUUGCCACAGGCUUCGGUGUAGGUUGCAGAUGCGGCUCUGAUAUCAUGUUGGCUGUCGCGUAGGCUGGUGGCUACGGCUCCAAUUCGACCCCUAGCAUGGUAGCUUCCAUGUGAUGCAGGUGUGGCUCUAAAAA